rnacentral:rRNA from 1 species
CACGUAGGGUGCGAGCGUUGUCCGGAAUUAUUGGGCGUAAAGAGCUCGUAGGCGGUUUGUCGCGUCGGGAGUGAAAACUCAGGGCUUAACCCUGAGCCUGCUUCCGAUACGGGCAGACUAGAGGUAUGCAGGGGAGAACGGAAUUCCUGGUGUAGCGGUGAAAUGCGCAGAUAUCAGGAGGAACACCGGUGGCGAAGGCGGGUCUCUGGGCCGAUACUGACGCUGAGGAGCGAAAGCGUGGGGAGCGAACAGG